GAUGAAGAACGCAGUGAAAUGCGAUAAGUAAUGUGAAUUGCAGAAUUCAGUGAAUCAUCGAAUAUUUGAACGCACAUUGCGCCCCCUGGUAUUCCGGGGGGCAUGCCUGUUCGAGCGUCAUUUCACCACUCAAGCCUCGCUUGGUAUUGGGCAACGCGGUCCGCCGCGUGCCUCAAAUCGACCGGCUGGGUCUUCUGUCCCCUAAGCGUUGUGGAAACUAUUCGCUAAAGGGUGCUCGGGAGGCUACGCCGUAAAACAAACCCAUUUCUAAGGUUGACCUCGGAUCAGGUAGGGAUACCCGCUGAACUUAAGCAUAUCAAUAAGCGGAGGA
rnacentral:misc_RNA from 1 species